GUGCGUCGCCCACUGGAUUGCUGGAUUCCAGGGACCCCUACGCCCUCCUGCUUCUUUCAUGUGCCCAGGUUUUCUCCUGGGCAUGAAGCCAUUGGGCUAUGAUGUGUGAGGUGCACAGAGCAAAAAAAGGGG